rnacentral:rRNA from 1 species
AGAGUUUGAUCAUGGCUCAGAUUGAACGCUGGCGGCAGGCCUAACACAUGCAAGUCGAACGGUAACAGGAAACAGCUUGCUGUUUCGCUGACGAGUGGCGGACGGGUGAGUAAUGUCUGGGAAACUGCCUGAUGGAGGGGGAUAACUACUGGAAACGGUAGCUAAUACCGCAUAACGUCGCAAGACCAAAGAGGGGGACCUUCGGGCCUCUUGCCAUCAGAUGUGCCCAGAUGGGAUUAGCUAGUAGGUGGGGUAACGGCUCACCUAGGCGACGAUCCCUAGCUGGUCUGAGAGGAUGACCAGCCACACUGGAACUGAGACACGGUCCAGACUCCUACGGGAGGCAGCAGUGGGGAAUAUUGCACAAUGGGCGCAAGCCUGAUGCAGCCAUGCCGCGUGUACGAAGAAGGCCUUCGGGUUGUAAAGUACUUUCAGCGGGGAGGAAGGGAGUAAAGUUAAUACCUUUGCUCAUUGACGUUACCCGCAGAAGAAGCACCGGCUAACUCCGUGCCAGCAGCCGCGGUAAUACGGAGGGUGCAAGCGUUAAUCGGAAUUACUGGGCGUAAAGCGCACGCAGGCGGUUUGUUAAGUCAGAUGUGAAAUCCCCGGGCUCAACCUGGGAACUGCAUCUGAUACUGGCAAGCUUGAGUCUCGUAGAGGGGGGUAGAAUUCCAGUGUAGCGGUGAAAUGCGUAGAGAUCUGGAGGAAUACCGGUGGCGAAGGCGGCCCCCUGGACGAAGACUGACGCUCAGGUGCGAAAGCGUGGGGAGCAAACAGGAUUAGAUACCCUGGUAGUCCACGCCGUAAACGAUGUCGACUUGGAGGUUGUGCCCUUGAGGCGUGGCUUCCGGAGCUAACGCGUUAAGUCGACCGCCUGGGGAGUACGGCCGCAAGGUUAAAACUCAAAUGAAUUGACGGGGGCCCGCACAAGCGGUGGAGCAUGUGGUUUAAUUCGAUGCAACGCGAAGAACCUUACCUGGUCUUGACAUCCACGGAAGUUUUCAGAGAUGAGAAUGUGCCUUCGGGAACCGUGAGACAGGUGCUGCAUGGCUGUCGUCAGCUCGUGUUGUGAAAUGUUGGGUUAAGUCCCGCAACGAGCGCAACCCUUAUCCUUUGUUGCCAGCGGUCCGGCCGGGAACUCAAAGGAGACUGCCAGUGAUAAACUGGAGGAAGGUGGGGAUGACGUCAAGUCAUCAUGGCCCUUACGACCAGGGCUACACACGUGCUACAAUGGCGCAUACAAAGAGAAGCGACCUCGCGAGAGCAAGCGGACCUCAUAAAGUGCGUCGUAGUCCGGAUUGGAGUCUGCAACUCGACUCCAUGAAGUCGGAAUCGCUAGUAAUCGUGGAUCAGAAUGCCACGGUGAAUACGUUCCCGGGCCUUGUACACACCGCCCGUCACACCAUGGGAGUGGGUUGCAAAAGAAGUAGGUAGCUUAACCUUCGGGAGGGCGCUUACCACUUUGUGAUUCAUGACUGGGGUGAAGUCGUAACAAGGUAACCGUAGGGGAACCUGCGGUUG